GGGUGAGUAACGCGUGAGCAACCUUUCCCAGACAGGGGAAUAACACACCGAAAAGGUGUACUAAUACCGCAUAAGACCACGGGAUCACAUGGUUCUGGGGUAAAAGAUUUAUCGGUUUGGGGUGGGCUCGCGUCCGAUUAGGUAGUUGGUGAGGUAACGGCCCACCAAGCCGACGAUCGGUAGCCGACCUGAGAGGGUGAUCGGCCACAUUGGGACUGAGACACGGCCCAAACUCCUACGGGAGGCAGCAGUGGGGAAUAUUGGGCAAUGGAGGAAACUCUGACCCAGCAACGCCGCGUGGAGGAAGAAGGUUUUCGGAUCGUAAACUCCUGUCCUUGGAGACGAGUAGAAGACGGUAUCCAAGGAGGAAGCCCCGGCUAACUACGUGCCAGCAGCCGCGGUAAUACGUAGGGGGCAAGCGUUGUCCGGAAUAAUUGGGCGUAAAGGGCGCGUAGGCGGCUCGGUAAGUCUGGAGUGAAAGUCCUGCUUUUAAGGUGGGAAUUGCUUUGGAUACUGUCGGGCUUGAGUGCAGGAGAGGUUAGUGGAAUUCCCAGUGUAGCGGUGAAAUGCGUAGAGAUUGGGAGGAACACCAGUGGCGAAGGCGAC
rnacentral:rRNA from 1 species